UUCGUACGAAAGUUUGGAUUCGAAUGAGUUCGAAAAUGCCAUUCUUGUUUACGUACAAAGGCCGUACGAAUCCAUUCGUAUCCCGUACGAAUGCGAUACGUAUGCGAAAAGGGUGGAUGUCUAUGCAAAAAUGGUUGAUGUCUAGACUUAAGGGUUAGAAAAAGUUUAAACGUCAGGAGAGAAAUGUCAAGUGUGUCAAGCCGAUUGAGCGAGGCUCCUGACGGCAAACAGUUUUUCACUGGAUGAAAAUUAAAUAUUUUUUUAUUAUAAUUUGCAUCAUAAAAAUACCUUGUUCUUAAAAAUAUCGUCGGUAAACGUAAGCAUAUAACACAAGUUAAACGCGGCUAUUAAAACUUUCAUUUUCGGAAUGAAAUUUAUUUGGCGAAAUAUGAAAUUGGAACCAAAUUUACAAACUCCGUUGCAAAAACAUAAGCGCGUCAUGGGUCUGCAUGAUGCAAUAAAACUUGUAUGUUUACAUUUUGUAAUCAUCUCGAACAGUAUUUCUUAGCAAGCUUACUCGCGUUUUUUGAAGAUUUGUGAUAAAUAAGUAAAUGUGUGGUUAUGUGCGAUUCUGCGGACAUGGAUUCUGAUGCGGCUGGAGUAAUUACAUGCUAUCUAGAAGUGACUGUUUUCGUUAAUGGAUUCGAGUGCUUGUUGCUGUAGAAAAUCAUCAUCAAAAAGCACGGCAUAAUUUAAAAAAGAAGAUUGAUCUGCUUGCCGCACGUGAAUUUAUUCGAUAGGAAAACUGUAAAUUUACCAGAAGAAGCUUGUUUUAGAAUCGGUGUCAACUUUGGCCCUGCGUUUUUGGCCACUUCAUGUUUGUAGGAAUGCGAAUUGUCGAAAUUUGAAUUUGUCCUUAGUGUUGUUCCGAUAAGACAAUCAGCCUGGUCUACAAGCUAUCUAAAUAGCAGAACACACCGGUUAAAGUUAAGCUGAAGCAUCGUACACUAAAGGAGUUGAAGAAGACCAUCAAGGGCAAGCGACACAAACGGGACUUCCGUCAGAUUACCCUGCGUGGUGCUAGUGAUAUUAGGCGAC